UUGUCCAUUCUAAUCCCUGCUGGCCAGCCUGUGGCCUGCCAGGUUUCACUUGUGGACCAGAGUACCCUAGAAACCUCCUGGAGAAGAGAGCACAGCUCCAGUGGGCUCAUGCCAUGGGAACUUCUAGACCAGU
ensembl:snoRNA SNORA52 small nucleolar RNA SNORA52